CCUACGGGAGGCAGCAGUGAGGAAUAUUGGUCAAUGGACGAGAGUCUGAACCAGCCAAGUAGCGUGAAGGAUGACUGCCCUAUGGGUUGUAAACUUCUUUUAUAUGGGAAUAAAAUGUUCCACGUGUGGGAUUUUGUAUGUACCAUAUGAAUAAGGAUCGGCUAACUCCGUGCCAGCAGCCGCGGUAAUACGGAGGAUCCGAGCGUUAUCCGGAUUUAUUGGGUUUAAAGGGAGCGUAGGUGGAUUGUUUAGUCAGUUGUGAAAGUUUGCGGGUCAACCGUAAAAUUGCAGUUGAAACUGGCAGGCUUGAGUACAGUAGAGGUGGGCGGAAUUCGUGGUGUAGCGGUGAAAUGCUUAGAUAUCACGAAGAACUCCGAUUGCGAAGGCAGCUCACUGGACUGCAACUGACACUGAGGCUCGAAAGUGUGGGUAUCAAACAGGAUUAGAUACCCCAGUAGUC
rnacentral:rRNA from 1 species